UCGCCCAGACUUGGAUAUCUGGGUCUAU
rnacentral:piRNA from 1 species